rnacentral:rRNA from 1 species
UUGAGCGAUUUACUUCGGUAAAGAGCGGCGGACGGGUGAGUAACGCGUGGGUAACCUACCCUGUACACACGGAUAACAUACCGAAAGGUAUGCUAAUACGGGAUAAUAUAUUUGGGAGGCAUCUCUUGAAUAUCAAAGGUGAGCCAGUACAGGAUGGACCCGCGUCUGAUUAGCUAGUUGGUAAGGUAACGGCUUACCAAGGCGACGAUCAGUAGCCGACCUGAGAGGGUGAUCGGCCACAU